rnacentral:rRNA from 1 species
UACAGAGGUCUCAAGCGUUGUUCGGAUUCAUUGGGCGUAAAGGGUGCGUAGGCGGCGCGGUAAGUCGGGUGUGAAAUCUCGGAGCUUAACUCCGAAACUGCAUUCGAUACUGCCGUGCUUGAGGACUGGAGAGGGAGAUCGAUUGAACGUUGGUAGUGAGCGGAUGAACGUAGAUAAUCGUAAGGAAGACCAGUGGCGAAGGCGGGUCUCUGGACAGUUCCUGACGCUGAGGCACGAAGGUCAGGGGAGCAAACGGG